GCUAAAUUUGGUAGAUAAAGGGGGACCCAACUUGGAAGGCUGCUGAUGCAGUGCAAGAAAUAAGCCAAAUCCCAAAUCUGAAACAGAGAACCUUUGAAACUGGGGCUAGGGGCAAUAUAUGUGCACCAGAGUGAAGCCUUCUAUCCUGCUGUUCAUUCCAAGUCUGGGUGGCUUGCAGAUACUGCUCCCACCUUUUAAGGCUGCACAGUUUAUAACAUAUUAUGUUGUUAGAGACCCAAAUCUUACCAGAUUAAGCUGGGAGAAUUGGAUGCUGCCAAACCUGGACUUUUUGCCUUUUUUAAGACACACAAGUCUAUAGUUGAUCCCUGCUUGAAGGACUUUUCUUUCCUCGUUUUUUUUUUGUUUUUUAAAUACACUCUGUGAACCUUCAUACUAUGUUGAAUUUGAUGACUUCUUAAUCUGAACUGUUAGCUGGAAUCUCCAUAAGUUAAUUAUUCAGAAAUAAUAGAAACUGAGAAGUUAAUAGUAAGCUCAGAAAUCAGCUGCUUAACCAGCUGUCUUGUUAAUUAUGGUAACAACACACUGGCAAUUACUUUGAUUAAAACACCCUGGGUUUGGUUUGCCUUUUCAAGCCCCGAUCACUGUCCAUACAGAUUCAGCUCUGCUGUGCUCUGCCUUUCCAAGCAUGCAGAGGAGCACAGCAGGUCCCCUGGAAAGGCUGCUGUGAAGCACGGGACAAGGACUCUGCCUCAGAGCAUCCCUGUGUGCUUCAGUGCUCCAAGAUUCUGUGCAACUGGUAGGGAACUCUCUAUGCUGCCUGAUUCUGAGUAAAUUGCUUCUUGAAACAGGAAGUGCUGUUUCUUUUCAUCUGUUCAGGUGUAAUACAAAGGCCAAAUCUCCACCCAUUCUGAACGUAACAUUCCUUUGGCUCUAUCUAUAAACAGCUGAGAUUGUGCUGGAGGAGACCAAGACACUCCUUCAGCCUCCUCAGAAACAUCUCGUGACUAGUUGGAAGGAUGAAGCUCCUGGCACUUUGUGGCUUUUUGUUUGUUUGUCUUCUGUGCCUCAAUGUCUUUGCUGCAGAAGGUGAGAAGGUUAGAAGACUCUGCUGCUCAAAAAUACCCAAACUCAAGAAAAAAACUGAUAAAGGUAUAAGUUUAAGAAUGACUUCACUGGAAAAAAGGAAAUACUGCAAGCCUUGUCCUCAGAAAUUCCAUCCAGUGAUUCCUGGACCACUUCCACUGCUAAAAUGAGCAGACUGAGAGGAGGGUGAAAAGCAUCCGCCUACAUGCACAACUGACAGUGCUUCACUAUCUUGAGUACCCUCCUUUUGUAGAUAGGACAUGCUUUUUGUACAUUGCUUUUUAUUUGGAGAAAUUCUUCAGUACUGUUUAUUCAUUCCUUCGCUCAGGUACCUUUUCUAGUAUUAGCCUGACAGAAAGCGUCAGGCAGAGCUUUCUGGCUGCCACCAGACUUUGUGUCAGUUGAAUAUUCCUCUGCACCAAGCAGAGAUUUAGCUCCUCAAGUAAGAGAAUGAGGAAAGCUGGUUGAAAGGUAGCUGAAUGGCACUGCUUUGCAUUUCUGAAUUGCCUAAAAGGUGGUGAAGGGCUGAUGCUUUUGUUUCUAGUUAUCAGUAUACAUGCAUAUUAACCUUUUCUUUGAAUCAUUUAUUUUAUAUUGAAAAAGGAGGGUUUUGUAUGAUCAUUAAUCAUUGGUGAUUUUUUCCUGCAGCCCUUGUGCUCAGUGUUUGCAAUCCACUUGGAAUUAGAUUUCUACAAAUGACAAAAAUCUCAUCUUUUAGAAAAGGCUGAGAAACUAGAUAAGCAGGUUGUUAAAAUAGUGGUGAUGGGCCAGAUUCAAGUAAGCUUUUUAAUAUGUCUUUCAAGGGGGCUAAAUCUGACUUUAAAAUCCAAGUGGCCUGGUUUUUAACUUCCUAAAGAGUGUCAUCAGGUGGUUAUUAAAGAGCGUACUGAAAAGAUAUUAAACCUAAUCAGAUUUCAUCUGUUCCUCUAAAGCCAGAAGGCAGCUGUUCUUUCAAGACAAUAGAGUUGUGUGAUCAUCUCAAUAAACAAAGCUUACUGGAGCAUGAAAUAAAUGCUGAGAAUAAUACCAAAGGGCUGAAUAACAGAGAAACUGAAGCAUCCACUGAUACUUUAGUCAUGUAUCUUCUGUCCUUUCCUAACUGUCCUCUGCAUUGCUGCUAUUUCUCUGCCUGGGGGAGAGUCCUUAAAACUGAAUUACUUUGUUGUUCAUGAAUUCAGUUUUCCUUCUACUGAAUAUGAGGAGGAGUAGAAACUUUUUCUGCUGCUGGGCAAAUUGUAGAUUGCAAAUAGUAAUUUUUCUGUCAGUACUCAUAGUACUACUCUUUCUCUUAACAUAAUUGUCAGUAUGAUAGAAGUGGUUUCAGUGCCCUUCGCAAUUUGGGGGAGUUGAAUGGGAGCAGUCAGAGGUCUGUUGUAACACACACAGGCAAAUGCAAUUCCAGAAGGUCAAGUUUAUAGACACUUACUCAGAGUCCUGCUCUUACUGGAAAUGUUUCUAUUCUACUGAACAAUUGAACCUAUUUCUGGGUCUUCUGUGUGCAUGCUAUUACUUUGUUUUCAUAUUGGUUUUGAGAUUAGGUAGAUCUGACACUCACCAUCCUAUUUUUGAAGACCUGACCAUGCAUAGCAUUUUUUAUAUCAAAGAUAAAGGAACUGCCAGUCCUCCUUGCAAGACCUGUGAAUCAGGAGGUUGGUGUAGGAACGGUUUAAUUGUUCAAUUGCUGGUCAGGGGGCCAACAUAUUUUAUUUGUAUUGUUUUGUAGAGCUCACAGAAAGAGUCUGUAGACUAUAAAUGACAAAGUAAAUAAAGAAUAUAAAUUAUGAAGUAAAUGUAAAAAGCAUUUUUGGUAUUGUUUACAGCAGGGUUUUUCUCUGUAAAAUAUGGCCAUGUGUUUACAGCUCUGCAUAAAGCAUCACUAACAGGCUUGAAGGUUCUGUUCUCUAAUGUGAGUUUAAGCCCUUUUCUUUUAUGUCUGAAAAAAGCUCUGUGAUUUUCCAGUUUGCCUUACACCCUCCAAACAGCAUGCUCCAAACUCUCCAACCCUCCUUCAGGCAAAAUGUUCCCUCUGAUAACAAAAGCAUAAGCUCCAGAGACUAUUAACACAAUUAUUGCAGAAAUACUCUGGAUCUUUGGUGAGAUCCCAGGACAUAAUUUAAUGCACUGAAGUAUUUUCACUCACUAAAAUUUCCCAGACUGGCCUCAAUCUCUGGCUGGGGGCUAUUCCAGUUAAAGAUGCUACUUGUCUAAAGUCCUAGCCUUGGCUGAGCAGACUAUAGCAAAAACUUCCAAAUAAUUCCAGUGUGGAUUGUGACUGCUGCCCAAAUGCUUUGUUGCUUCAUAUAGAGGUACCAGAAUGUUGUGUGUCCUCUUGAAAGCAGUUCCUCAGCAGAGUUUGACUCUUAUGUACCAGGCCAUUUCCCCAUGUGCUAGAACAGAGUUACCAUCUGAUCAUGGUUUCACUUACACCAUUUGUUCUUCCUUUUGUUUUCCUUUCCUUCCGCAUGUAUUUGUCUGGCAUUACUGGAAGAGAAACAUAUUUGUUCAGUGGCUUUUCAAAAUAUACAAACUGUAUGCUUAUAUAAAGGAGUAAAUUUAUCUUGUCCAAGCUGACAAAUGAAUUUUUUGUAUCUUGUGGAUUUGUGUGCAUUCGGCUGUCAAGCAAGAAAAUUGCAUAGCUCUUAAGUUGCAAUAAAGAUGUUUCUGAACUGUC